CUCAGAGUGCGGCGGUGCUUCCAGUCUGGCUUGAGCUCGGGUGGUAACCGGGUAGGCUUCAGACGCGGUGUCUCGGGCUAGUUGGGAAGUUAAACAGCCCACAUCAUUCCCCAACAGUACUUCGGCUGGUAGCUCCUGCAUAAUGCCAACCUCCAGUUGUUUAGAUCCCGAGCCCCAAUCCACAAGGACUUUAGCCGUAGGUAGUUUGUGAAUGGCACCCCCG